rnacentral:misc_RNA from 1 species
GAUGAAGAACGUAGCGAAAUGCGAUAAGUAGUGUGAAUUGCAGAAUUCAGUGAAUCAUCGAAUCUUUGAACGCACAUUGCUGCCAUAGGUAUUCCUUUGGCCAUGCCUGUUCGAGCGUCAUUUACACCCUCAAGCCUAGCUUGGUGUUGGGCGUCUGUCCCGCCGUUCUCGCGCGCGGACUCGCCUCAAAGUCAUUGGCGGCGGUCGUGCCGGCCCCCUCGCGCAGCACAUUUGCGCUUCUCGGAGGCCCGGCGGAUCCGCGCUCCAGCAAGACCUUUCACGACUUGACCUCGGAUCAGGUAGGGAUACCCGCUGAACUUAAGCAUAUCAAUAAGCGGAGGA